rnacentral:tRNA from 1 species
GUAAAUAUAGUUUAACUAAAACCCUAGAUUGUGAAUCUAAAGACAGAAGUUUUAUCUUCUUAUUUACC